rnacentral:lncRNA from 12 species
GUUUUCCUUCUAGUCAUUUUGCUCAGUGCAGAGUGGCCAAAAGCAAGUUGUAUUGGGAAAAACAGAAAAAGAGAGAAGAGAAAGAAGGAAAGAAAAGAGAAAGAGAAAAAAAAAGGAAGAAAGAAAAGAAAAAACGAAAAAAAAAAGAAGAAAAAGAGAAAGAAAAAGAAAGGAGAAAAAAAGGGGUGGGGGAAGGAAACAAAUCAAAAAGCAAAACAAAACAAAAACAAAAACAAACAAAAAAAAAGAACCACGGGGGAGUAUCUUCUGAUUCUGUGUUCUUUAAGUCCCUUGGCUUCCCCUGGAAGUUGUCAGUCUAGCUGGUCUUCUGGGGGAGGGGCCUGCUGUGCUGAUUUUCAGGUGUUAGCACUUGGGGGAGCUGCUGUGCCCCUGCCUGGUGCAGGGCUCAGUGGGGUUGUUUACCCCGUGAGGCCGCAGGAGGAACAGCCCCAGUGGCGGGGCCAGCUCUGGAGCCCUGGAGUCAGCCCCCGCAGUAGCUCCAGAGCUCUCGGUCUGCAGGGCCUGGAGGCUCCGGGCGGGGCCGCUGAUCUGCUCAGCUCGGGGCAGGAGCGUCCUCGCUGUCCUGGGCCCUCCCGGCCUCUGCCUGUCCCGGGGGAGGCCGGAUCCUGGGCUGUGUCCCGGCGCCCUGUGCUCGGGGCCUGCGCUGGUGGAUUCGCGCUCCCGGGCCGCGCAACCCCCUCCGCGGAGCCGCCCCCGAGCUCCUCCGAGCUGCUCCUGGAACCGCGCAGCCCCCUCCGCACGGAGCCUCUUCCUCUGCCCGAGCCCCUCCGAGCUGCUCCCGGGGCCGCGCAGCCCCCUCCGCGGAGCCGCCCCCGAGCCCCUCCGAGCUGCUCCGGGUCCCGUCGGGUCCCGCCGUGCGCGCUGCAGCCCUUAGGGAGCUCGGCGCACUCUCCUGGGCGCGCAGUUGCUGUUACUGUGGGACUCAAACUCAAUUCCAAGAUCAAGAGUUACAUGCUCUUCCAAUUGAGCCAGCCAGGUACCCCAACCUUUGUUUAUUUCCUUGAAUAUCACAAUCAAGUUAUUUCAAAGUCAUCUACCGCUAACUACAACAUCUGGAUUAACUAUGCCUUUAUUGUCAGUUAUUCUUUAAAUUCUCAUUUAUAG